rnacentral:rRNA from 1 species
GAUGAACGCUGACAGAAUGCUUAACACAUGCAAGUCGAUGGGGAAGUGGUGCUUGCACCAUGGCAACCAUGGCGGACGGGUGAGUAACGCGGAAGGGACUUACCUGCAGGACUGGGAUAACAGGGGGAAACUCCUGACAAGACCGGAUAAUGUCAUGGAGCUGCAUGGCUUUAUGAUGAAAGGAGACGCCUGCGGAGAGCCUUGCGUCCUAUUAGCUAGUUGGUGAGGUAAUGGCUCACCAAGGCGAAGAUAGGUAGCCGGCCUGAGAGGGUGGACGGCCACAAGGGGACUGAGAUACGGCCCUUACUCCUACGGGAGGCAGCAGUGGGGAAUAUUGGACAAUGGGGGCAACCCUGAUCCAGCAAUUCUGUGUGCACGAAGAAGGUUUUCGGAUUGUAAAGUGCUUUCAGCAGGGAAGAAGUAAGUGACGGUACCUGCAGAAGAAGCGACGGCUAAAUACGUG